GUGUGGCAUCCGAAUCAAUGUUCAGUGCAGGUGGUAGAGUGCUUACAACACACAGAGCUUCAUUAGAUCCAGAGGUUGUUGAAGCAUUGUUAUGCUUAAGCGAUUGGUUGCCAGAUUUCAUUUGUGAUGAAGAUAUGGAAAUUUUGGAAACCGAAGACGAAUGAAGACAAGAGAGACCCUGUUUGAAUAUCUGUUAAGUUUUUACUUUCUUUAGCAUUUGCUUGUGCUUCUUUUCAUGUAUGUGUGUGAGUAAGAGACUUACAUUCAGAUGAAGACAAUUCAGAUGCCAUCUUAUGAGUACUGUUUCCAAGUUUUAUGUAUGACAAUAUGA